CCUCAUGCGCUUCAUUCCUCAACUUCGGUUCAGGGAAAUCUCGUCGCGCCGAAAUUCCCCAUCGGCGGCGGCGGCAGAGAUCUAAGCGUUAUCAAAUUAUCAUCAAACACUGUCAUAUUCUAAUCAAAUCCUCUCCCCUAAUCCAUUAUCACAUUCUAACCAAAUCCUCAUGUCAAUUGGAACAGUACUCGAGCCCUAAUUGACUAAAACAACAAUCCAGCAAAAAUGGAGGAGAGUUCGAGCCGGUCAUCAGGGGGCUUCAACUUCCCUUCCUCGAGACUACAUCACAGUGCAAAUCAAAGAGGGAAAAGAAAGGGAGCUUACCUGCCGGAGUAGCUCCAGCAGAUUUUCGAGAUGUUGAUAUUGAGCGCGAAGAUUUAAACUCCUCUGAUGCUUCAGUUAAACCUUGCUUUCCUUGUCCCAAUCGUAUCUGAGUGCCUUCCUUCUUCUUCUUCUUCGUCUCGUGAUUUCCUUAUGAUAUUGUUGUUAUGUGCGUGUGAAGUUAUGAAUCAUGGAAAUCCGAGAGAACGAAAGUGAAUUGGAAAGAAUCAUGUUUGGUGAAUUCUGAGAUGAAUCGUGAAUUGUUGAUGCAGAUUGCAGGGUGGAUUCAAUGGCGAGCGAAGAUUGAAGAUUCUUUAAAGAAUGAAGUUUGCAUGAUGAUCUCUGAAGAGUGCAGCUUCGGCAGAAUGCUUCCCCCCUUUCAUAUUGCAGUGAAGGUAACCAAAUGUGAUGUAUACUCACGAGAAUGAAGAGGGAAAAAGACGACUUACAAAUGAGAACCAUGGUUUUUAGAAAUAGAUGGUUGACUUUGGUCAACUGUUGACCAAAAGUCAACAUUUGACUAAAAAUCAACCUUAGGCCAAAAUCCAGGGAAAAAGACGACUUACAAAUGAGAACCAUGGUUUUUAGAAAUAGAUGGUUGACUUUGGUCAACUGUUGACCAAAAAGUCAACAUUUGACUAAAAAUCAACCUUAGGCCAAAAUCCUCUUGUGUAAUUAUGUAUGGACACUUGUAGUCUUGAUUUUGUAAAAAUGAAAUGAAUAACUUUUUAGUAAAAUGGUUCUUGGUUUUAUGUA